rnacentral:lncRNA from 1 species
GAAAGACCAAGUACGUUAUGGAUAUGGUGUGGUUGGAUUUGUGGGGCAACAGAAAAGGACAAAACAUACACGAGCAGUGAUUGUCUAUGAUGACAUCCUGGACUUGGAGGAGAAUUGGGUCCCACCCCCGGUACAUCACAGUCGCAUAGAUGGUGGGAAAUCAAAUAAGCUUUGAUGAAUACUCACUCAUUAUAUUUUGGACGGUUGUGAUUGGUGGGCUUGAUUAUCAUUACUCCUUUGACGGUUCAACAUCAUAAUAAAAGAUCAACGGUCGGUUAGAACAGUCAACUACCAUCGAG